rnacentral:rRNA from 1 species
AACGUAGGACGCGAGCGUUAUCCGGAGUUACUGGGCGUAAAGGGUGGGCAGGCGGCCGUGUCAGAUGGGUGUGAAAUCUCCCGGCUCAGCCGGGAGGGGCCACUCGUGACUGCACGGCUGGAGGGCAGCAGAGGCGCGUGGAAUUCCGGGUGGAGUGGUGAAAUGCGUAGAGAUCCGGAGGAACACCAGAGGCGAAGGCGGCGCGCUGGGCUGCACCUGACGCUGAACCACGAAAGCCAGGGUAGCGAACGGG